UACGUAGGGACCAAGCGUUGUUCGGAUUUACUGGGUGUAAAGGGCGCGUAGGCGGCUUGACAAGUCACUUGUGAAAUCUCCGGGCUUAACUCGGAACGGCCAAGUGAAACUGUCAUGCUAGAGUGCAGAAGGGGCAAUCGGAAUUCUUGGUGUAGCGGUGAAAUGCGUAGAUAUCAAGAGGAACACCUGAGGUGAAGACGGGUUGCUGGGCUGACACUGACGCUGAGGCGCGAAAGCCAGGGGAGCAAACGGG
rnacentral:rRNA from 1 species